CAGGUUCUAUAGGAAGGGGAAACAUCAGAAGAGUUCAGACAAAGUACAUCUUAACAGACAGUCUUCAAUGAGUUCCAAAAAUAGCUCUCAAAAACCUUCACACACCUCUGAACAGGUUCCAGGGAAAAGGGAAACAUCAGAUCCCAGACCGUCAAGUCCGUCGUCUCAGUCUAUGACCAGCAGCCAGCAUUUCUGAGCUGAAAGUGUUUCUACAUGAUAUAAGAAUCAACACCAUAAACACAAUAACUGAACAUGUAUUUAAUUUUUUCACUUGUGUUGAUAUUUUAUUUUUUAAUGAAUGAACAUGAAUGAAAAUGAGAGGCACUCGGUGUAUGCACAAGAUGUACAGAAAUAAAC